GACGAACGCUGGCGGCGUGCUUAACACAUGCAAGUCGAACGGAAAGGCCCCUUUGGGGGUCCUCGAGUGGCGAACGGGUGAGUAACACGUGAGUAACCUGCCCUUGACUUCGGGAUAACUUCAGGAAACUGGGGCUAAUACCGGAAAGGAAUCCUUGCUGCAUGGUGGGGGUUGGAAAGCUUCGGCGGUUUUGGAUGGACUCGCGGCUUAUCAGCUUGUUGGUGGGGUAGUGGCUUACCAAGGCUUUGACGGGUAGCCGGCCUGAGUGGGCGACCGGCCACAUUGGGACUGAGAUACGGCCCAGACUCCUACGGGAGGCAGCAGUGGGGAAUAUUGCACAAUGGGCGGAAGCCUGAUGCAGCAACGCCGCGUGCGGGAUGACGGCCUUCGGGUUGUAAACCGCUUUCAGCAGGGGCGAAGCUUGUGGUGACGGUACCUGCAGAAGAAGCACCGGCUAACUACGUG
rnacentral:rRNA from 1 species